CAAACAUAGCUCUCUCUUGGUAUCUUCAGAAGACUGGAUCCAGGCUCCCCACCACUAUCCAAGACCAGGGAAGCAAAAAUUCUGCCAGCGUUCAGUCCCUUCCCCAAAGUGACGGGGCGCUUGCAUAUAAUCUGUGCGUGUACUCUCAUGCGUGCUCAUUAUCGCUAAACCUGAUGUCACAGCUGACACCAUUUGAAAGCCACGUAAAUGCAUGUUCUACUGAAUGGCCAGGGCCUAAUGACAAGAGUAAACCUGGACACGUUCAGUUCAGAUACAAUCGUUUGGGCAAAACGUUCCAAUCCACAUUAGUAGAGUCCGCUAAUGUAGGAUCUGCCUCUACAAAGCACCCAGUGUACAAGGUCCAAAAAUGUGCAGAACUUUAAAAAAAGUAAGUAGUAAUCACAACAA
rnacentral:lncRNA from 1 species